rnacentral:tRNA from 1 species
UAUUAGAUGGCCGAAAGUAAGCAAUGGAAUUUUAAAUCAUAAUAUGAUAGCUACAACUAUCUCUAAUAA